CCUGGGCGAUUCUGCCAGUAGCAUAUGCUUGUCUCAAAGAUUAAGCCAUAUAUGUGUACGUACACAUGACUGGUACAGCGACACAGUGAAUGGCUCAUUAAAUCAGAUAUGCUUCCUUUGAUCGGUCAAUCUGUUUCUUGGAUAACUGUAGUAAUUCUAGAAUUAAUAUAUAUCGACAAGCACUGAUCUCGUGGGAUGUGUGCAUUUACCAGACCAAGACCAGGCAGGGAUUGCAUGCCACUUUGGUUACUCUAGAUAACCUUGGGCUCAUCGCACAUCACUGUGACCGUGACAAUACAUUGAAUGUCUAUCAACUUUCAAUGGUUCUUUCUGAGCUGACCAUAGGUAACGGGAAAUCAGGGUCCUAUUCCGGAACCGUGAGCCUUCAAAAUGAUUACCACAUCCAAGGAAGGCAGCAGGCGUUCAAAUACCCACUCCCGACUAAGGGAGGUAUGACUACAAAUAUCAAUACAGGACUCUUUUCUGUAAUAGGAAUCAGUACACUUUACUUCCUUUAACUAUCCAAUGGAGAGCAAGUCUGGUGCCAGCAUCUGCGGUAAUUUCUGCUCCAAUAGCGUAUAUUAAAGUUGCUGCAGUUAAAAAGCUUGUAGUUCUUAUGAAGCUGGCAGCCCGCCGUAAGGUGAGCUUCCGUCUGCCCCAGCACCUGCCUCUCUGUGCCCCUUGAUGCUCUUGAAUGAGUGUCCGUUGAAGUCCAAAGCAUGCCGGUUGCCUGAAUACUUUAGCUUGAAAUAAUGGAAUAGGACUACAGUUCAAUUUUGUUGGUUUUUGGAAUAGUGGAAUUUUCGGACGAGCGCAAGACCAACCAAAGCGCAACCAUUUGACAAAAAUGUUUUCAUUAUUCAAGAAUGAAAGUUGGAGGUUCGAAGAUGAACAAAUACAAUCGAAGUUCCGACCAGAAAUUAUGCCGACUUGCAAUCCAGCAGAGUCAUUCCCUUGAACCGCUGAGCAGCUUCCAGGAAAAUAAGACUUUGGUGUCUGGGGCAGUAUGGUUGCAAAGCUGAAACUUAAAAGGAAUUGAUGGAAGGGCACCUCCAAGAGUGGAGCCUGCAGCUUAAUUUGACUCACCAUGGGAAACCUCACCUGACACGGAAGAGGAAAGGAUUUAUAGAUUGAUGAUAGCUUUUUCUCGAUUCUGUGGGUCGUGGUGCAUGUCCAUUCUUAGUUGGUGGAGAAAUUUGUCUGGUUAAUUCAGAUAACGAAUGAGACUAGUCCAUGCGAACUAGUUAUGCAACCGCCAGUGGUCAGCGUUCAACUUCUUAGAGGAACAAGUGGUGUUCAGCAAAGAUGAUCAAGCAGUAACAGGUCUGUGAUGCCCUUAUAUGUCCUGGGCUCCAAACGUGCUACUCUGAACAAAUCAAUGUGUGUCCGGGAAGGCAGUGAAGAGAGGCUCGGCCUUGGUUGUGGAUGACGGCUUGAGCCCCGGGCCCGGGGAAUGGAUCUGUGCUCCUUAAGACCCCGACUCUGGACGGCAGCUUUUAGGCCCAGACCUGUGUACCAGUGGACCUCCAGUAAAAGUAGUCACAGGAACAACAAAAAAUCCCAAAAUGGAGCGUUCUACAAGCAGGAAAUAACGCAAAUGUAUUGGACCCAAAAAUCUGGGAUGUACGGUUCAGACUGCCCAUUGGAACUGAAGUGAAUG
rnacentral:rRNA from 1 species